AUCAAAUUAUACUAUUUCGAAAUAAAUUUUCUUAAUAAAAAAUAUCACUUAUAUGCUACUAUAGUAGUACUAUUAAAUAACAACUAAUUAUUAUUUUAAAAAAGUCAUUUACUUAAUACCUACUCAACCAAAAACAUUUAUUGUUACCAUAGAAAGAUUUAAAUAAAAGUCGAAAAUUAUUCAUGUACUUAAAUAAAACUAAUUUGACGACAUUAAGCAUAGAUUUCAUCAUUUCUGACGAUAAUUAGUAAAGGCAACGUGUGGCUUGCGUAAUUUUGUAUAAAAAGACAAAUCUGGCAUAAAUUUCGUUCUUUCCAAAGAACAUAAAUUACGAUUUUGAGUAAAAAAGAAAAAUCUUUCCGAUUUUGUAUAAAUCGAACUUUCCUUAAUCAGAGCAUUUUACUACAAAGUCGUAUUUUAUAUGGAUAAACUUAAAACUUCUUUAAUGGCAGAUAAUGUUCCUCUCUUUCAUCGAAAAAGUUUGACCUAAACAACGAAGACGUACCAGGAAGGUUACAGUCUCUGAAGA